rfam:Lysinibacillus sp. BF-4 contig00004, whole genome shotgun sequence.
UUCUUAUCGAGAGAAGCGGAGGGACUGGCCCUACGAAGCUUCAGCAACCAACAGCGAUGUCAGGUGCUAAAUCCAGCUAGUGAAUUACUAGGCAGAUGAGGA